CCAAUGCUCACCAAGACAAAAAGGCCACGGGCACUCAGCCCCAGAAAGCUCUCGGGAAUGCUCCUACACUUCCUAGGGAAGGAGAAGGUAGCUCUGAGCAGUGGCCAUCAGCCUCAGGGAUUUUUCAGCACCUCUAAUUCUGACAAGCCUAGUGCUGGGUGCACUCUGCUUGGCUGACAUCACAGGGAUCACCCAUUCCCCAGGGCUGGGUCAUCAGAUCCUAUUGGGGCAUGUCAGGAGUCACAUGAGAUGGGAGAGGGAGUGAAAAACACCAAACCAAAGAACAUGAAAUAAUUUCUAAACAUUUUUAUUUCAAAUCUCUUUUCACCCCUCCCCAAAAAGACAUGGGUAGGUACAGCAAUCAUAAAAAGGAGAUACAAACACAAGAGUCAAAUGUCUCUCGCACUGACACUUACAAAAAACUGGGAAUUGUACAUGGGGUUUCCAAACAGGACCUGCAGCAGCUACUAACGUCCCUUUACGAGAGUCAAACAUGCCUAUUAAUACAGUAUAUACAGACACCCCAUUCUGGAACUAAUCUACAGGGACAUCCCUAACCCCACCCCCUCUAUCCCCAGAAAAAUACCAAAACACACCCAAAGUGCAUUUGUUUUGUUUAUAUCAAAACCUCUUUCCCUUUCCCCAUCCCACCCUCAGACCCCUCCCACCCCAUUUAAGAUUGGCCUGCAAGUCUAUUUUAACCAUUUAGUAUUUUUUUAUAGUUUAUGAAAAUAAAUUAUACAGCAACUAUUUUAAUAAAUUAAGCACAAAAGGAAGGGUAAAAGAGGAAAACUAAAUGGGAAGACAAAAGCCAGGCCACGCUUUGGCUUGGAGGAGGGCAGAGGGGGGGCUAACGGAGACAGAAGUGGUUGCAAGGGGUGGCUCCCUUUCUGGUGAAAAAUUGGCAACCACCCCGAGCCCAGAAUGACACCCCUCUUCAUCGAGUUUCUUAAAAACAACCAAAAACGUACAGCAGUGGCUAUGCCACAGGCAGCACCAGUGUGGGCAUUCCAACAGCCAGCUACCCAAAGUGGCACCUGGACCCUACCUGUCCCUUGGACAGGUUCUGGGCCUAAGAGUGAGGGACAGGUCCCCGCCCAAGGGAGCACCAGAGAUGGAGGAGUGAGAGCAGGCUUCUGCUCCACCUGAGCUGGUUAGGGAGCUCAGGACGAAACUCUGAGCGGGGCAGUGUGGUAUGUGAUGAUCCCAGAGUCUGAGGAAGAGUGUCCUAAGUUCCUCACACUCUAUCUCCAGGAGGAACUACGAUCGCAGUCCAGCUGCAACCAAACAUGCAUGUCUUCCCGCCGUGGCUGGCUGCUUUCUGUCUGCCCCUCCAGGCCUCUUGGUGUUGCAGAGGAGGGGGUAGGAGAGGGAAAGGGAACGGUUCCAGGUCACCUCUAAACCCUCUAGAAAUGAAAUGGGAAUGAAGCAGGUCACAAACUCAGCAUGCAGGGCUGGCUUCCCGGGAGGUAGAUGGGAGUGGGACGGGAUAGCAGGUGUGGAGAGGACAGGAAGGGAAACAGGAAGAAACUGAGCGACACCUGCCAGGAAGGUCAAGAAGCAAUGAAAAGGACAAAGACAAUAUGAAAUCUGCAUGAAAAGACAGGUCCUUUUCUGGCAGAUUAGAGAAUCAACAUUUUCAGUACAACUCAUAACGCUACUUUCCUAACUGCAGUACCCGAGUCCCCAGCGCCUGUCUCUAUGAUCCAACCCCCAUUUCACUGCUCCCAAGACUUUGCUCUCCAUUUUAUCAAGGCCUCCAAUCAUUUUGUGCUGAGUGUGAAGGCUCCAAUGUGAAAGCAGGGUCUACCACAGGGACGUGCAGACUUGACCUUUGUGACCCAAUCAUUUUAUAGCUAUCGCAGCAUAGGAGGGGGGCACACUUUUCUUUCUUUUUUUUUUCUUUUUCUUUUUUUAAUAAAAAAGGUUUUACUCCCCAGGAGCAAAUAAAUCAUUUUGAACUACUGAUAAACACUGCUGCAGUGAAAAGAAAGAUGGCUACAUGUAUGCAAUAGCACAAAUUCAGUGGAAGAACAGCUGUGUUGACGAUUAGAGAUAAAAAUCACUUAUCCAUUCCCUCCUUUCCCACAAACCAAACCGAGGAUUCCCAUAGGGAAAAUGUCUAACUCAAUAGCUCCUCCCUUACAUGACAGGGGGUGUGUCAUUCUCUUAACAGUGGAAAACAAAUGCCAGGUCUCCGCCCAGUGGAGAUGCUCUUAACACCCUAACUGGUAGCAAGACUUCUGCAAAUGAGGACACACACACACACACACAUGCAUGCAUAUGCACACACACAGACUCAGACCUCCUUCCAGCAGCCAUAGAGCUUUAUCCCAGUGUCUUGUCCACUAACUUUAGGGCUCCAAAGCUAAGGGAGCGAGGCAGCAGGGAAGGGAAAGAUCUAACUGAAGGAAAAAGCUCCUCCUCGCCCCAGUUUCUGCAGGGAGCAGAGGGCUUCAAGCAGGCCAUGCUUUCCUGGGGGCCCUGGGGUGAGGGCUGACACGGCUGGAUUCCAGGGCACUUCUGGUUCUACUCCCACCUCUCACCCCUAGACCUAGGAACUAUAAUUACCCCCACUCCCUAAUUCUUCCUGGAUGUCUGUUACAGGGGUGUCUGCAGCUAUCUCCACACCAUCCCCAACCUCAAGGGGGGCUUACUCCUGUGCUACCAACAUAGCACACGAAUUUCAAGUAACAGCAAGUUGUAGCAGUAGUUGUCACUGGCUCACAGCAGCUCACUCUCAACCUGAGGAAGGUUACAGUAGAUCAGUCAUAAACAGGUGAGGGUUAUGCAGGCACUGAGGCCACUGAUAUCACCCACCCACAACUUAGGAAUCAACAGUGGGUCCCUAGAUGUAAGCCUUUUCCAAUUUGUGACUUGAAAAUACAACCAGAAAGAAAUUAUUUAUUUUUUUUGAGAUGGAGUCUCACUCUGUCGUCUAGGCUAGAGGGCAGUGGCGCAAUCUCGGCUCAGUGCAACCUCCGCCUCCUGGGUUCAAGCAAUUCUCCUGUCUCAGCCUCCCAAGUAGCUGGGACUACAGGCGCAUGCCACCAUGCCCAGCUAAUUUUUGUAUUUUAGUAGAGAUAGGGUUUCACUGUUUGGCCAAGCUGGUCUUGAACUCCCGACCUCAUGAUCCACCCACCUCAGCCUCCCAAAGUGCUGGGAUUACAGGCGUGAGCCACCGCGCCCAGACCUAGAAAGGAAUACAUUUAAAUGAGCUCUGCACAGCACUGGCGAAGGAGGGACGGGCCUGGUCAGGGAGGUGAAGGGCAGGUGCUGCCACACCUGCUCCUCUGCUCCAUUUACUCUCUGACCAGGCUGUAUCCCAGAGAGCUGGCCCAGCCCCAUGCCUCCCCCUCAUCUUCCCCUAACUGCUCUGUGCAAGGCCACCCAUGCAGGCACCAAACACCCACACCUGACGAAGACUGUCUCCUCUUGCGCUGCUGUUUUGCAGCCCACUCCACAGAGAAAGGACUAGGCUGCGGCCAGGGCUGGGACCAGUGCACUGACACAGACACAGUUCAACACGACACUCCCCAGGAGGAGAAAGGUGGGUGGUGAGGUUGGGUCACACCUCCUCAGUUGGUUUGUUUUGUACCUGAAUGUAUGAGUUCUCCAGAAGAAACCCCAGUAACACAGGGGGUGCAGAGGCUCUGCCUCCCUCACAUGGCCUGAGCUGACCAUAGUGAGGCCCUGGCAAUGGGCAGGAGCCUUGCUGACUCCUUUGGGCUUUGGGCUCCACCUCACCAUCAUAACCCCUUGGCACUCAGGUCUGCCUGGUGGCUGGGAAGCUUCCAUCUAGAAAACCGCACUGGAAAGGAUUCUUUAACCAUGUUGCUCUAACAGGGCUGUGCACUGUUCAGUACAUGCCAUGCAGAUUUCUGCUUCCUUGCUUUUGCUCAUGUGUUUUUCAUCUCACUGUCUGUCCUGCCAUUGACUACAACCCAAAGCCUCAGAGGCACAGAACUUUCCCAGACCAUCUGGUCUACCCUGAUCUUAUCUACUAUAAACGUCUUUAGAUAGUCCUUGAUUUUCUGCUUGAUGUGCAGCAGUCACCUAAAAGCUCCCUUAGGCCACAUAUUACGUCUUUUACCUUUUUUGUUUUCUACAAUAUCUAGCGCAAAGCCAGGCACACACACACUAAAAAAUAAUAUUAAAAUUAUGGGUGGUUGAAAAGGAACAAAAAAAAGAAAGAUCCCAGGCUGUAUAUCAGCCACCCAAGGAUCUCAACAGAUUCCAACUUCAGGCUCUAUAUUGGGGUGGCACUUCCUGCAAGAUGGCGAGUUAUAUUACUUGUACUCUCACGAGGCAACACUCACAUGCUAAGCCAAUUUCUGGGAUCACAAUCUUGCUUAGUUGAUAAUACUACCAUGGAAGCCAAGGAAAGAAGAGGUACCACAUGACAAAUCAGAGGUGGGCUGUGUUUAUGGUGCACAGCUCAUCUUGUGGGCCACCCUUCCACAGUCAGGUAAUGGUGCAAGUUUCCUCCCUGUUCAGCUACAAGGAGGAAGACUGGUCACUCCACGUGGGACUAAGGAAGAAGGCAAUGCUCCCAGAUGAGGCAGUCCUAUAAAUUACCAGGACACUGGGGCCCCACCCAAACCAUCAGGAAGCCACAAACCUGACAUUAGUAUCUGUCUUGUGACACGAGGCAACUAUAAGCAUGGGGAACCCAGAAAGAGAGUCCCAUGGAACACACGCAAAGGAGUCAUGAAGACCCAACAGCUCCACUGUUACAUCUCAAUAGCAAACCUCUCCCCAGAGCAGCUCUAUAAGAAAGCAAACUCACAAUGUCAUAUGAAUUGGCCAUGGCCAGCUGCAGAAACCAUUAAAGACCAUUGGAGUUUUUCUCCCCGCUCCUCCUGAAAGCAGGGACAGGCAGCUCUCAAAUCGGCAUCUGGCAGACUUUCCAGUGAGUGGAGACCAGCAGGAUCUGAUCCGGAAAUGUCUGGGUUGCUAGAAUGAACACAAGAAAAUACAGAAGCCCUUGCUACCUCCCAUCCCAGAAGUGGGAUGGCAGUGAUAAACCUAAAAACGUGAGAUGCGAUGCUCUCCUCUGACCUAAGGAAAUCCCGUGAGGGCUGCGUUCUGAGAGCUUCCUCUAGGAAGAGCACAACUGUGGGAGCUGUAUUUCUCACCUUCCUCCACAUUCCCCCUCACAAGCUGACAGGCACAUGGAAGUAACACUCACUCCUAAGUCAUGAGUACAGUUUGCCAUGAAGAACCUGGAAACAUGCUCCAUUAAAUUCAGCAGCCCAUGACUGGCUCUGAACCGCCCAGGUGAUGGGAAACACGAUUGCCAUGACAGCUGGCAGAAGCAAUAGGGAUGCUGUUACCAUGAUCAGAGUGACAUGUACAGUUAUCUCAAGGGGCAAUGGGUUGAGAGCAGAGGAAGAACGGGGUUAACUUCAGGUCAUGGAACUUAAGGAAUUAAGUAAAUCACAACUAGUACAGCUUCCAUGAGAGGUGUUUCUGAACUCAGGUUCCUAAACCUUAAAAAAGGAUGCAGGAGUCACUACUUCUCCCAGCUAAGGCCAAUUGGCUAGGUUUUGCCCAAUAUUCUUUUCGAGACCACCCACCCUCCUUUCUCUCCUGCUCCUACAACAGCUGCCCAUGGCAACAAGAGGCAGAUUCCCCCUUCCUCAGGAACUCCCAGUCCUUUGCAAACCUCAAGCCCCUCCUCCCAUCUUCCAGGCCCACAGCACAGACUCUAACUCUGCCUUUGGCACCAGCUGAAUGGCCGUCCCCUGUUCCCUCCUCCCACCCCUUCUUUGGACCUGCUCACCCUUCGCACCACUUUCAAUCCAACGGGCACAAACCCCAACUGCCUUCAAGGUGAGUUUUCCAUACCAAGUAAUAUAAAUAUCAAAAACAAAACUUCUGAAAAAGAAACAGUGUUGAGACUUCUUCCAGUUUUCCAAGGAGCCCCUCCAGUCCUAAGAUGCCCAGGGGUGGGUGUGAGGUGGAG
rnacentral:lncRNA from 1 species